GAUAAACGCUGGCGGCGCACAUAAGACAUGCAAGUCGAACGGACUUAACCAUUAGUUUACUAUUGGAGCGGCUAGUGGCGGACUGGUGAGUAACACGUAAGCAACCUGCCUAUCAGAGGGGAACAACAGUUAGAAAUGACUGCUAAUACCGCAUAUGCCAAGAGUAUCGCAUGAUACAAUUGGGAAAGGAGAAAUCCGCUGAUAGAUGGGCUUGCGUCUGAUUAGAUAGUUGGUGUGGUAACGGCAUACCAAGUCGACGAUCAGUAGCCGGACUGAGAGGUUGAACGGCCACAUUGGGACUGAGAUACGGCCCAGACUCCUACGGGAGGCAGCAGUCGGGAAUAUUGCGCAAUGGAGGAAACUCUGACGCAGUGACGCCGCGUGCAGGAAGAAGGUUUUCGGAUUGUAAACUGCUUUAGACAGGGAAGAAAAAAGACAGUACCUGUAGAAUAAGCUCCGGCUAACUACGUGCCAGCAGCCGCGGUAAUACGUAGGGAGCAAGCGUUAUCCGGAUUUAUUGGGUGUAAAGGGUGCGUAGACGGGAAAUUAAGUUAGUUGUGAAAUCCCUCGGCUCAACUGAGGAACUGCAACUAAAACUGGUUUUCUUGAGUGCUGGAGAGGAAAGUGGAAUUCCUAGUGUAGCGGUGAAAUGCGUAGAUAUUAGGAGGAACACCAGUGGCGAAGGCGACUUUCUGGACAGUAACUGACGUUGAGGCACGAAAGUGUGGGGAGCAAACAGGAUUAGAUACCCUGGUAGUCCAUACCGUAAACGAUGGAUACUAGGUGUAGGGGAUGAAUAAUCUUCUGUGCCGUCGCAAACGCAGUAAGUAUCCCACCUGGGGAGUACGGCCGCAAGGUUGAAACUCAAAGGAAUUGACGGGGGCCCGCACAAGCAGUGGAGUAUGUGGUUUAAUUCGACGCAACGCGAAGAACCUUACCAGGGCUUGACAUAUAGAGGAAUAUGCUAGAGAUAGUAUAGCUCUUCGGAGUCUCUAUACAGGUGGUGCAUGGUUGUCGUCAGCUCGUGUCGUGAGAUGUUGGGUUAAGUCCCGCAACGAGCGCAACCCCUGUUCUUAGUUGCCAGCACGUUAAGGUGGGAACUCUAAGAAGACUGCCGGUGAUAAAUCGGAGGAAGGUGGGGACGACGUCAAAUCAUCAUGCCCUUUAUGUCCUGGGCUACACACGUGCUACAAUGGCUGUAACAGAGGGAAGCGAACCCGCGAGGAGGAGCAAAACCCAAAAAAGCAGUCUCAGUUCGGAUUGAAGGCUGAAAUUCGCCUUCAUGAAGCCGGAAUUGCUAGUAAUGGCAGGUCAGCAUACUGCCGUGAAUACGUUCCCGGGCCUUGUACACACCGCCCGUCACACCAUGAGAGUUGGGAAUACCCGAAGCCUGUGAGCUAACUUUUCAAGAGGCAGCAGUCGAAGGUAGAAUCAAUGAUUGGGGUGA
rnacentral:rRNA from 1 species